rnacentral:ncRNA from 1 species
CGAUAAUAGAGUCGCAGGGUGGUGUCUCCUGCGCCCGUUCUAAACGGGUUCUUCCCAGCCACGG